UAUUAAUUUAAUUAUUUUUCAAGCAUUACAUACUGAUAAAUAAAAUUAAGCAUUUACAGCUCUUCUUUCUUCUGAAUUAAAACAACAUCUUUUAAGAACGCAAUAUAUAACAAGCAUUUGGAGAAAUGCAUAUUUACGAUUCCCCAGUUCUUUGACACCUAAUAGAAACGGAUGGACACUUAAUGAGGAUACGCUAGAUUUUCACUGGUUUGACGGAGAGUGUAUGCCGCAAUUAGUAUUCGACGCUGUUGUUCACGAGGAAAAUAAAAAUAACGAUGAUGAAAAUCAUACUACAGAUGAUGAAGAGGUUGCCGAAUCUGAUACAGAUGAAUCCGAAGAUUCAAGUAGUUCUGAUGAAGAUUCUGAUCCACACACGAAAAAUGAUCAUUUAUAUCUGACGUGAAACGAAUUUAAUUUAUUUCUAAUUUUUUUAUACUUAAAUAAUUGAAACACUGAAGAAAUAUUAUAUUUUUAUAAAUCUAGUUUUGCGAUUUUGUAUUUUAA